rfam:Triticum aestivum genome assembly, contig: Triticum_aestivum_CS42_TGACv1_scaffold_526644_6DL
UAUGUACUCCCUCCGUCCCAAAAUUCUUGUUUUAGAUUUGUCUAGAUACGGAUGUAUCUAAUACUAAAAUGUGAUUUGAUACAUCCGUAUUUGGACAAAUUCAAGACAAGAAUUUUGGGACGGGGAGAGUAUGUG